GCCGGGCAUGGUGGUGUGCGCCUGUAGUCCCAGCUACUUGGGAGGCUGAGGCGGGAGAAUUGCUUGAACCCAGGAGGCAGAGGUUGCGGUGAGCUGAGAUUAAGCCACUGCACUUCAGCCUGGGCAACAGAGCAAGAAUCUGUCUCAA
rnacentral:sRNA from 1 species